GUACCUGAUGCUCCUCGAGCUCCUGCACUAGCACCUGAGCAAAAGGGAAACACAGAUAUGAGGAGCAGCUCGGGCCAUCAACCCAUUCCUCCCUCCACACUUAAAGCCCAGCCGCUGACCGUUUGACUAGUCAAGGCCGGCCUUUCCCUCACCCUCAACGGAACUGCUCGUCCCGCUGCCUCGAUUUCCCCACUGGGACCAUUCACCACGACUCCCAGAUCUCUUUCUUCCCCUUACCUGAGCGGAUUUGUUGCAGGGUCCAGACUGCAAGAACCUAGCGAUCAGCAUUAUUUACAGUAGCCAAGAUAUGGAAUCAACCCAACUGUCCAUCAACAGAUAAAUGAAUAAGGAAAAUAUGGUAUAUACACAGUGGAAUACUAUUCAUUCAUUGAAAAGAAGGAAAUCCUGCCAUUUGCAUCAACAUGGAUGAACCUGGAGGAUAUUAAGUGAAACAAGCCAGGCACAGGAAGACAAAUACCACAUGCUUUCACUCAUAUAUGUGGAGCAUUGUACCCUGGAAUGCCAGUUCCUUGAUGAAGAGAUUGGAUUUUUUUGACUGAAUUCUAUAUACUUCUCCAAGUACCUGGUAUUUAGCGGCCUCUCAGCUAUUACUAAUACUUGUUUGGUCCUGGAGAUGUUUAAUAAUUACCUGUUGCUUUAUCUUGAGGAUAGCAGUCAAGUAGAAUGAAGACUGCUGAGGUGAAAAACAGACACACAAAAGCCUAAAUAGCCGAGAGUCCUCAGUUCACUGGAGGCUCCAGAUAUCUUCACAAUUGUAAAGACAGAAACAAAAAAUUUGAAAAAUACCAAAAGGAAAAAUAAGUGCAAACCAAAACAGGGAAUGACAAAGGAAGCCAUCUGAAGAUGCCUUCAUCAUCUGAACAUUUCUCAGUUGCUAUUUUACUUUUUGAAAGUAGACUGUUAUUUAAGAGUCAAUUGCAUUUAUCUGUGCCUCAUCUCCCCUAUUUAUUAUGCCUCCUCAAGGCAUUGGACAAUGUUAACCACAUUCCUUUUAACUCCCCAGAACAUUGAGUCUUAUGCAUCAAGUGAGAGCAAUUUAUAAGCCCUUCGUUAUGUUUUCCCGGAAACUAGAUGAAAGUGUUUUAAGUAAGGAGAAAUCACUUAAAAUGGUAAGCUUGUCUAUUUCUCUGCAUGGUUGAGGACGUCCAGCUGCUCUGGGCUGCAGUUUGUGUCCUGCCAUCCCUGCAAAACUUCUGCCUGAUAUCUGCCUUCACCACCACCCAACCCAAAGCAACUCUGAUUCUGGCAAGCUGACCUCUCUUUUUUCAGGGCAAUUUAUCUCUCCCUGUGCCCUGGGAGAGGCCAGACAACAGUCCUGAGAGACGCUGCCAGCAAGUUGUUUAUGCCAGGAGAGUGUUGCCCUACCCGUGGCCUCACUGCAGAGCCCUCUAUGGAGAGGGGAUGUAUCUGAUUCUGAUGUUCUUUUACAAAUCAAAUUUCUGCAUUUUAAUUUUUGUACCUCUUCUCAGACGCUGCAUUGUAUGAUAGAAUAUUUAUUUUAUUAUUAAAAAUGGUGAAUUAACUAGCACAUUGCUUUUUCUAUCUUAAUAACGACUAUCUUAAUUCUGUAAAAUUAUAAUGUAAGUCUUGAGUAAAGUAGUCAUUGCAGUAUUUUAUAAUCCUAGUCAUAUACCAGAGCUUUCUCAAGGGGAAAAGUAUUAUAGUUAUCUCUUCAAUAUUUGCUUAUGUGAAACAGUUAUUAACACCGUUUAUAGCUAACCCUGUCUGUAGUGACUGUUUUGAGAACCCUAAAUCUCUAAUUUAAAGGCCCAAGAUUUUAUCAGUUUGUAUGGAACCUGUGUUUGCUCCUCA
rnacentral:lncRNA from 1 species